CCGGCAUCCCCGUCUUCCUCCUUUCCUGCUCCGUCCGCGUCCUAUCCCACGACUCGGGACGGUUCCUGCCCGCGCGCCCCUCCUGCUCGGCGCCGCCGCUCCCGCCCCGCGCUCGCCGACGCCAUCACGUGGGCCGCCUCUCCUCCGCCGGCCCGCGCGCCCGUCCUGCGCCUCCCCACGCAAGUAGCUGGUCCGCGCCGCCCGCCUCGCCGCCGUCACGCCGCCUCAAUCGCAAUCCCCUCCGUCCCCUCACGACGCCCUACUCCUCGCCCCGAGCUGGUCCGCGCCGCCGCCAUCGCGUCAUCCAGCCAUCCCCGCCCCGCCCCGCCAAAUCGAGGUGCCCCUGGUUGCCGCCGUGAGGGGUCCCUGUCCGCUUGCACAAAGAAGGCGGGUCCCCGUCAGCUUGUCGCCUCCCCGCGCGCCAGCUCGCCGUCGACCUGCCCACCGAUCCGCUCGCGCCGCCCUCGCUCUCGCCCUCCCCAUCUCGCUCGCCGACACCGCCGCUCCGCCGUCCCGCUUGUGGUUGGCUCAUUGGUUCUAGGUUGCAGGCCGUCUGGGAUCAGUCACAGCAGAAGGUGGAGGGUUCGACUGGUCUGGCGUCCAUGGCUACGGACCAGGUUCCUCACGCUCGUGAUUUAUCUUUUGCUUCAGUGGUGCCUGAGGACGUUGCCCACCCUGUGUUCGAUGAAAUGUCUCCUCUAGAUGUAGUCUGGGAUAAGAAAGUGCAGCAUGGGUUCGAUUCAGAUGGCUUGUUGCAGCAGUUAGCUCUGUGGACUGGCGAGCAGGUCUCGUUGAUGGUUUCAGUCAUGUUCGAGGAAAUGCAUCAAGGUGGAGAGGACUUGAUUGGCAAGGAAAAGAAGCCAACUGCAGAGUUCAGUCAUAUCAGUGCUGCUUCCCUUCCCGUAGAGCUAUACGUUGAUCUGGGGUGCUUGAGGUAUCACAGUGACGUGGUACAGUAUGAGGAUUUGUCUUCUCACCUCGACACACACCAUAGCCAGCAAUCAGCUUACUUGGUUGAUGAAGAUAGCAAGUCAAUUAACCAGUCAUCCAUCAGCAACAUGCUCAGUCAGGAGAAAUGCUCUUAUUUCAUUUUGGAUUCUGGCAUCAAUGAGAUGGAUUUGAUGCUUGUUGGAAUAGCUCUUGAGGAGGCCAAUGCAGCAGCUUAUGCUGAGCCAGCCAUGUUCAGAUAUGAGAUGGAAAGAGAGCAUGAUGCAGGCAAGCUGUUUUGUGAAAUGGCCAACGAGAUUGUGUGGGGUGACAUUCCAUCUGACAUUGAGACAUGAAAACUUAUUGCAGCUUGUCAUGGGUGCGAAGGACCUGAAGGAUGAGAAGAUAAAGCUAUGUCUUCGGCUUAUUGAUGAUGAGGUACUUAAUACUGUUGACAGGCCACCAUUAUUUGAUAAAGCAUGGCAUAGUUUCUGCUGCUUAGACGUUUGAUAAGUUGUAUUGUAUUGCAUCUUGAUACAAUAUAGGCCCAAUGAAGUACCAUAGCAGUACGGCACUCCACCAUUCCACAUAGAGCUUUGAUGAAAUUUCUUUCGCCCAUGCUAUGUGAAAUACAUGUUGUUCUUGGAUAUACCGACAUUGACACCAAUGCCCAGUACCAUAACAAACAUGCUGUUGUUAGAGAUCAUACCAGUGUCUGUUGCAGUUGUAUGGGCCCAACAACAUAACCGCUUUGGCUUACUGCAAUCAGUACUCUGCUUUUGCUCACUGUGCCAUCAGUAUUGGUGCUGCCUAGCCGUCGCGCACAAGUAACAAGCCCUCCUCACAAGUCACCACCAUCGUGCCCUCUGCAAUGCCCGAGCAUGCCAUCAUGGGAAGGGAGAGGGGAGACCAAUAGGAAUCAAGUAAUGGAGAGCUGAUGUUGUCUUCUAGGUCAGUAAAAAGGAAGCAUGUGAUGGGUGGACAGAUUUCAUCACAGAAUAGUACAGGCAACUGGAGGUGUGCGAUCAAGCUGUGCGAUCUGGGCUAAUGGAUCGCUCCGAGCUACUGAAGAUGUCAAGAAGCUCAUCGAGGCUGAAGGGGGUGAAACAUGGAAGGAGUAUGAAAUUUUUAAGUACAAGAGAUAAAAUGCUGAUAAUGCAUUUGAACUUCUUAUUAAAAUGUUUUUUCUCUACAAAUGACAAAGAGUGCCCAUUUAAUAUAUUUGCUACAUGCUAUUUGUUCCUUGUCU